rnacentral:lncRNA from 1 species
UAUAGGUCCAUUUUUGCCUAACUCAGAAGUCCUUUAACAAGCAGCUUUUGAUCAGGGACACUUCAUUGGCCUGGUUGAAGUUUUUGCAAAAGUGGGCUGUGGAAUGUGGAAUGUGGAAUUCUUCCUUCCCUCUUUUCUUCCACAGCUAUCAUCCUGCCUCACUGUCUGAGGCUCUCUCAACUUUCUUCUACUCCAUUCCUUUUUAUCUGUCACAGGCAUUUCCCCCAGUAAACAGCCUGUGUAUCUAACCUUGAAUUGGCUCUGUGUCUAGGAAGAAUCAAACUGUCAGAGACAGGCACUGAGAAGAUCAGUUGAGAACACUCCUUGAGAACUCAAUUGGGUCUUCUCGUUUUCCAUUUCAAAAAGGCGGUAAGAGAAUUAAAUCAGCAAAGAGUGAAUUAUCAUGCUAAGUUCUCAAAAAAGGCUUGAUUCUUGGUGAAGACAGCCAGGGGACUCUGAAACUUCGCUUUGGAUUUAUGCAUACGGUUAACUCUCAUUGCAGGGCCGGUGGUAUUUUGAAUUUAUUACUUUCUGAUUGGGCAUUACUUUUUUUUUUUCUUAGGGCACAAAGGACUAUCUUGAGUGACAUGGUUUUCUAAUACCUACAAGCUUUAUAUCUUUAAUUACUCAUCAGAGAAGGCAGGAAAUAAAGUAGUUCCUAAGCAUAUACAUAUUUCAGGUAUCUAUUUCUGGAAAGAAGAUUUUUACUUGUUUUUAAUUUGUUUUUUCUUUUUGCUGAUAUCCUUUUGAUUAUUCACCCCCUUACAAUUAUCUCACCCUUUUGAGGUGGGCCUAGCUCUUGAUGGUGGUGGGUAAGGCGCAAACAGAGUAGUCUGUGCAGCCACCUGCCACAACAUGUAGCAACCCAAGCUGAUGCAGAAAAGCUUCCUGGAGAGUGAUCUCCAUCCUGCUCAGGGUUCAUCUUUAGCCCUCAUGUGACAGUCCUGGCCGAAAGGAACUGGAUUCUUAAGAUGAAAACAAAGUUGAUAUCUCACUCACUUCGAUUUGAUGCACUUUACCUUCCAUAGCAAAUAUUUAUUACAUCCGACAAGACAAAGGCAACGGGCAGAAAAGUGUACAGCCAUUUCUGUCACACUGAGAAUCAAGCCUGGAUUGCCUCCAGUGAGAAGAUGAUACAGGACUAUUAUAAGGACAAGAUUUUUCAGGAUAAGACACAGUUCUCAUGUGUUCAGACAGAUUGCUUUUCAAAUCACUCUGUAUAGGGAUGGGUUAAACCCAGCUCUAAAAUAAAUAUUUAUAUGCCCUAAAGUUUCCAACUAGGAAGGCGGAAAGGCUCAGAUAUCAAUGACCAGCAUGGGCAGUGACAUGGGUGAAAUGUGGUGUUGCUGGCAUCAAAUUUUCUCAGCUUUCAACUAUUCUCUGUUUUUCUAGAGGAUUGAAUACAUCCUGAUAUUUGAGAACCAGUUGUUAGGCAAUGCAUUUGAAUUAUUAAUAAGAAUGAAGAGGUAACCAUGGCAAGAGAGGAAAAAAAUAAAACUAGCUCUCCAGGUUGCGGAGAUGGUACCUGCAAACUGCUAAGAUACAUAAAAGCAAGGGAAUACAACUUAGAGCAUAGAUGCUUAAAUGCACUUCCUUUCUCUCAUCCACUACCUUAAAGGUAGCAAUUAUGCUUUAUGUGUCCAUGAUAACAAAUGUCUUCUCCAUUCAUCUGUGGCUAGUAGCUUACAAGGCAAAGAUUGCACACAAGGUGACAGGUUUGCUCUCCUCCCUUCCCCACCCCCACUCCCGCACAUCCCCCUGUAAGAGGGACCUCUCAUCCACGUCUCCCAGAGAUUACUGCAAUUAGCAUGUUUCCUAUCAACCCUUCCUGUAAAUCUUUGGUUCAAGGAAGUUUCCUUCCAUCCCUCACCUAGAAGAAAGUAGACAAAAACACAGGCUCAGCACUUUCCAAGUCAAAAAAUAUAGUCAGGUCCUCACCAAACAUGGGCAAUUCUCUGCUCUUUAUCUAUGCAUUUCCUCAACCUUACAUUGACUCAAGGAAGAUAUGCUUCCCCUUAGGAGAGCCAAGUGAGUUAAAAACCAUUGUCAUAGUGUGCCCAAGUGUGAAAAUUAUUAAAGUACCCUUUUGUACAGCUCCUGGAUGAGAGGAGACAAUAGCUGGUGGGGCUGGAGUGCAGGUCUUUAAUCUUCUAUAGGAGUCACCCGUAAAAUUUGAUUCGUUCAAUAGAAGGGGUGCUGGAGUACCUGCUAGAAGUCAGGCCCACCCUGUGCUCUGUACUUGUCUGUA